rnacentral:rRNA from 1 species
ACGAAGGGGGCUAGCGUUGCUCGGAAUGACUGGGCGUAAAGGGCUCGUAGGCGGCCAACUAAGUCCGACGUGAAAUCCCCAGGCUUAACCUGGGAACUGCGUCGGAUACUGGAUGGCUUGAAUUCGGGAGAGGGAUGCAGAAUUCCAGGUGUAGCGGUGAAAUGCGUAGAUAUCUGGAGGAAUACCGGUGGCGAAGGCGGGUUGCUAGGCUGACACUGACGCUGAGUGCGCGAAAGCCAGGGGAGCAAACGGGA